GAUGAACGCUAGCUACAGGCUUAACACAUGCAAGUCGAGGGGCAGCGUGACGAUAGCUUGCUAUUGUUGAUGGCGACCGGCGCACGGGUGAGUAACGCGUAUCCAACCUGCCCUUGUCCAUCGGAUAAACCGUCGAAAGGCGGCCUAACACGAUAUGCAGUUCUCAGCAGGCAUCUAACGAGGACGAAAUGUAAAGGAGAAGGAUGGGGAUGCGGCUGAUUAGCUUGUUGGCGGGGUAACGGCCCACCAAGGCGACGAUCAGUAGGGGUUCUGGGAGGGAGGUACCCGACAUUGGAACUGGGACACGGUCCAAACGCCUACGGGAGGCAGAAGUGAGGAAUAUUGGUCAAUGGGCGAGAGCCUGAACCAGCCAAGUAGCGUGCAGGAUGACGGCCCUAUGGGUUGUAAACUGCUUUUAUGCGGGGAUAAAGUGAGCCACGUGUGGCCUAUUGCAGGUACCGCAUGAAUAAGGACCGGCUAAUUCCGUGCCAGCCGCCGCCGUAA
rnacentral:rRNA from 1 species